AUUGAACGCUGGCGGCAGGCCUAACACAUGCAAGUCGAACGAGUGGCGGACGGGUGAGUAAUGUUUGGGAAACUGCCUGAUGGAGGGGGAUAACUACUGGACACGGUAGUUAAUACCGCAUACCAUCAGAUGUGCCCAGAUGGGAAUAGCUUGUUGGUGGGGUAACGGCUCACCAAGGCGAUGUUCCCUAGCUGGUCUGAGAGGAUGACCAGCCCAACUGGAGCUGUGCCACGGUCCAGACUCCGACGGGAGGCAGCAGUGUGGAAUAGUGCACAAUGGGCGCAAGCCUGAUGCGGCCAUGCCGCGUGUAUGAAGAAGGCCUUCGGGUUGUAAAGUACUUUCAGCGGGGAGGCGUUACCCGCAGAAGAAGCACCGGCUAACUCCGUGCCAGCAGCCGCGGUAAUUC
rnacentral:rRNA from 1 species